AGGAAAACAGAACAGGCUUCGAAGGCCUCUUUCCAAAUAGAGUUUCAUUCUGAGGUAUUGGGGUUAGGAUCCUGACCUACGACCUUGAAGAGGCACAGUUAAGACCUUUACUCUAGUUACAGCAAUAAGCCCACCUCUGCCUGAGAGGCCAGUACAUCAGGGCUCUCCCUGUCCGACAUCACCCGACCCGUAACAGUCCACAGACUCUUCUGGAGAGGACUGGAGCUCAAGCAAGGUUCACUCCUCCACUCUGCUUCCUGUCUGCCAUGCUGUGAGCUCCUCCUCUCUGCCUCCUGUCGGUCGCACUAUGAACAGCCUUCUCUUCCACUCUGAGAGUUACCGUGAUGUUCCACCCAGUGUAUGGACCCAAGUGACCAUGGCCUGCAUCCUCUGAGAUACUGAUCAAGAUAAAGCUUACUUCCAUUUAAAUUGUUCUUUAGGGUGUUUUAGGCACAGUGCGCCAUAGUGACAAUUCCAGGACUUCACUGCUCUCCCCGUCGGAGCUCCCUUUUGUUCAAAACACUUCUUAAGUUACAACUCGCCGAGGUGACCAUGCUUCCACGUGACUGUGACUCACUUCCUUGUGUGAUGUGUGACUUCAGCGUUAGCACUUGAGCUUCAUGGAAUGUCACAGAUUCUUCAGCAGAAACUGAUGACUUCAGCUCUCUAAGCUCAAACGUCCCCCUGGCUGCUUACUAAGUAUUUACUGCCUUGUGAGAUCCAUGGCCGCUCGGGUAUGGUGAGAAGCCCCUGGAAGAAGCUCAGGGAGAGUGGAUCUGGCGGCAGCAGGCCUGGCUGGAGACCUGAGCUCUCUCUUGUCAUGCUCUUGGUCCUUGGCCAUGAUCAGGGCCCUGCUGUAAGCAUCCUUCUCUGCCUCUUUAACAUCCAGCCUCUCAUUUUCUCUUGACUUUGUGUAUCUCUCCCAUGGUCCUUACUUUGUGUAGCCAUGGCAGGCCAGAAACAUUCGAGAGAGUCGCUUAAAAGGUGGAAAGAUUUCUUUUUUUUUUUUUUUUUUUUGGACUCGUGGUUUUAGAGGGCUCACAGCGAAAGGCUGGUGUGCGGGAAGGAAGCAACCCCUGUUUCAUGCUUCCAUGCUCGGAUCUGUAAUCGUUUGAGGUCUGCUUUAUGUUUGGUAGGAGGGAGAGCUAAACUCCAUGUCUCAUUAUUUGUGUAGAUAAUGGACGCACCACCGAGUACUGAAAGCAGCCAUUCUCCCUUCUCUCGGCAGCAAGUAAUGACUAAGGACCCUAACUGACACCACUCUCUCCCACCAGCCUGUUCUUGUCCUAACAUCACAUCCUGGCUUAGUAAGAAGUCUUGGUAUCUUAUGAGGCCAGUCUUGGCAUUGUGUUUCCUUGGAUACCUGGAAAUUGUAUUUCCCUGUGAAUUUUAGAGUCAAUUUAUUGAUUUUUCACAUGAAUGCACACCUGUAGGGAUCUGCAGGGACUCUGACUAGAACUUUAUUAAAUCUUCCAAUCAAUUUCAACCCUAUUAUCAAAAGGUAAUAUCAUUACCAGGUCUCCCCUUUAACUUUGUCUUCUUCUCCUCAUAUUCUCAGCCCAUGGUCACUGUGCGCUUCCCACUUAUUUAAGUCUGCCUUUGUCUUUCUCAAUAGCAUCCCAUUACCUUGAACUAAAUAUGUCGUUAGACUUUCUUCCUUUCUGAUUUUAUACACUGCACUCAACAUCUACUUGUAAAAUUUAUUCUAUGUUUGUUUCUGUUAGGGGAAUGUAAGCCUUGCUGUAUUUUUUGUCUUUAUCUGAUAACUGACAAUUUAUGGCAAUAAGUGUAAAUUUAAAUCACUUGUCUACAUACACAAUCCUAUUAUUUGUUAAGAAAAAAAUAAGUGGGUAUCUUUUUUUACCUUUCAAACCUUGAGACUUAAAGUGUUGGUUUGGGCCACAGGUGUAAUAGUAAAUAUAAACGGUGAAAACAUAGCUCCUAUGUCAGCCUGGGAGGAAGAAGCCAGUAUUUCACCUGCCUUGUGAGAUCUGCAGGCCUUGGAUUGAGUGAGAGGUCCCUGGAAAAAGCUCCCUGAGAAAGAGGCAGAGUGGAGCUGGCUGCAGCAGGCCUGGCUAUAGUUCUGAUCUAGGUCAGGACAUGGUCAGCCUCAGGUCAACUGUUCCUGCACGGGCUGGAAGAUGCAGAGAGGACCAUCUGGGAUGGGAGAACAGGUCUGACUCUGGGAAGAGACUGAUGACCCAAAAGUUUCCCAGUGCCUGCUCCCCCCGGUGAAACAAAUUCUAGUGAGCAAUCCUUGGGCCUUGAAAAUGCUUCUGCUUCCUCUUCUGGAAGGACUGGUAUCCGUGGCAAGGCAAGUAGACAUCCCAGCCAUGCUUUGGUGGCCACUUCACUGGGCCAUGAGCCAGCUAAUUCUUCAAUGGCCAGGACUUUGGACAUCUACCGUGAUGUACACAUGCUUCUCCAGCUUUGUGCUUCUUCAAAACAUAUCGCCUCACUCUCCCAGGACAGGUCAGCCUACCCCACUGGACCGGAGUCUGCAGGAGAGGAAGAUAGCAUCUGCUUGCCGUGGAGUCUCCAAGACUGGCACUGUGCCUGGCCUUCGGAUUCCUAUAAAACAAAGAACCAAACAGCAGGAUGCCCGGGUCUCCUGAGCCCAGCCCUGCUUUCCUGGGGUUUGAAAUGUUCUUCAUCUGCACAGUGAAGGAAAAUGGUGCUGUCCUCAAGUGGGAGCCUAGUGUGACAUGCACUUGGCCCAGAAAUCCAGCAGGUGCGUCUCUUCCUGGUUUAGAUUUCUCUCCUUUCCUUCAGUAAACCCAAAGAGCUAUUCACGUUUCAUUAAAUUGAUUCAGAUUGAAUCUAAAUGAGGGUUAAAUAUAAUUUUCUGAACACUACCAAGCUGCAAUUCCUGUGCCUAAAUAAAAAAAUAACAAACGAUUGAAAAGGAGGUGCCAGUGGGGCUUCACGGAUGGGGGGAGCGGUUCAAGCCCUCUGCAUUUGCUUCAGAUAAUUCGAUUUGCUAUAUGUCUGUGAGUGCAUUUCUCCAGCCACCCCAGACACAUUCCAGGCAUAGGAGACUCACGAGCCAGCCACCUUAGCAAUAGAGGAGGCAGACAAGAGACACCAGCAGAGGUGGGCGCCCCAACGGAGUCCCUGGGGACUGAUUAUGCUGCCCAACCAUUGUCCUUUGUGUUUGUGUGAUGAAGUCGUGGUUAAAGCACAGUUCCUCGCACUUUGUUGCCAGCUCUCGGGACAGCAUUAAGCUUCCCUUCUGGACUCAGAGUCUCCUGUUGAAAAGCGAUCAAAACAAUCCUAGGAGCAGGUGGACGAUAAAUUAAUGAACACAAUCUCUUGCUUCAAAUUGCACCCGGGAAGAAAUUAAUUACCGGGCAAAUGAGAAACAAAGAGGGAUCCCCGCCCCCUGCAGCCUCCAAGCCCUUUGCGAUUUUGUUCUCCUGAAAUCUAAUUUCCGAGAAACACUUCAGGGAGGCCGCGGAGCCCGCAUUAGAUUCUUAGCAGCGCACUAAUGGGCAGCCAUCAUUCCUCAGUAAGGAGCCUGCGCCCUGCGACAGGGCCAGGACUGACAAGAGCGAUAUUUCAGGGGAGCAGCAGCUGUUCCCAGCACAGUUAAUAAGCAACAGGCAGAUGGGGUGCCAACGGAGCUGGGGGGCUGGACCCCCCGAAGGUAGAUGUAAACUUUAUUUAUAGGAUAAUCUGUACAAGUGCAUAAAAAUCUUUAUUUUUCCAUAGCGAACAUUUCAUUCCUGCCCAGAAUGUAAACAUGUCUUCCAGGGCUCUCAGCUGUCCUUCACGGAGUUUCUGAGGAGCACGUUGCCUCUGACAAUGUCACCCUGGCAGCUAUUUAUAGGACCCUGCCACUCGGUAGGAUCUAAGGGAAGCAGAGCUGGGUGACCUUGUGAACAGGGCCGCUGGCCCCUAAAUCUCUCCUCUGUCACACAUGAGCUAGAGGCUUGCCUCCUCCCUUUGCCUUGGGCUGAUGGAUCCCACUGCCUUGCCUUCAGCUCCACCCUCUCCGUGGGAAACGUAAAGCCCAUAGCCCCUUCACUGGACCAGUUGCAAUAUUAACUUAUCUCCAAGGCUUGCUCAAGGAUGCAUAGGCCACACCUGUGCCCUGUUUGGUUGAAGACCACAGACUCCCCUAUAGCCACAGGGCUGUGAUCAGCCGACUGCCCAGAUGCCUGGCCAGGAACACAGGCAGAAUUCUAACUCAGACACUCAAUGCUGACAACCGGCAGCCACACGGGCUGUGCCUCGUACUUCAGAGGCUGCGGCCAUAUUCUCCAGGGACACAUUGUUUCUAGCUCACGGUGAACUCUCUAUGGAACGUCACUUAACAGCUCAAAAUUAUAUACUCAGUCACCCGAAGCUCCAGUGCCAUAAUUAAUGGCUUGGUCCUGCCAGGGGAACACCUGAAGACAGUCAAGUAAGGGACAUGGGGUAGCUGAGAAAGAAGCCCAGAGCACCUAUUCGUUUGUAUCUUCGGUCAAAGAUGCAAAAUGAAUUAACUAAAGAUGUUGUCUACUGAUGUCACUAAAAUUGCCAUUUCUGGGACAAAAGCAAAGAUGGAAGACUUCCCAAAAUGAUACAGUGCUACCAACAGCUUCUUAGACUGUCAGGUAAGGACAUUUCUUAUGAACUUCUCCCGUUUGAUCACGCCCCAAGAUGAGAUAACCUGAGGUCAUUGACUGUAGCAGAGCUGGGGUGCCACCCAGGCCUCUGACCCAGGCCUGAGGUCUCUCUUGCACCUGUGCUGGGUAGAGAGGAACCAUUCCCAGGUGGUAACCAUGAGCUACGGGGCCACGGUCUGUACUGGCCUUGUCCUGUGGCCUUCCAUUCAACUUGAUGUUCUUUAGGGAGAUCUCUAGCACACCCAGAUCUAUCACUGAGCAGAAUGAGGAACGUGUAAGGUUGAAAGUUAACACAGGGGCCUGCAAACACAGUUGUAGGUCACUGUCUGGGCCUCAGCCCCCGUGGGCAAGACUCCGUUACAGCUCUCUGGACAGGGACUUUGGAAGGGUAAGGCAUUCCAGCAUCCUACAUCCAACAUGCCAAUGGCAUCUGAAGAAAUGGCAAGUUCUGGAUCAAUAACCAGUUUUCUCUCACUUGCUUAAGUGGAUGUUAAAGGAGUGAGUGGGGAGAGCCUUCCCAUUUCUCCAGGGAUUCCUACAGCAAAGCUGUUGCUUCUCACUGCAAAGCUGAGCACAGCUGGGCCAGAGGCUCUCUGUAAGGAGCCAUGGGUAGCCAAACAGGGUUACACUCUCUCAAGCCUGUUCGUCCUGACCUUAUCGCUAUGGCAACCAGGGGGCAACAUCCAGCAAGCCAGCCUUGACCAUUCGCUGCCCCCAGGUCCUGGAACCUGUGAUGAAAGCCACUGUCCUUAUUUCCUGAGGCCCUGGGGGGCUCUGUUGAGGAUGAAGUUAAGUAGACAUUGAGUGACUGUAACUCACUCUGCUGUGGAAUCCGAGCACGUUCUCUUUUUUAAAGAGAAGCCUCUCAGGGUUCCGCAUACCUGUUACCCAAUGGUGUGAAGCUUCAAGCCUUUCACAGAGAAUCCAUAUCUUUUUAAACAAAACCCACUAGACUAUAACACAGAAGAAAUUGUGUAAAUGGAAAGAAAAUAUUCAUACGAGGAAGAGAAGGAGACCAACAGGCAGAAAGAGAGGAGGCAGACCGGAGCAGUGAACUGCUCAUCACCACAACACAGUACACUCUGCAGUUUUUCCAGAGAGUUCCCAGGGAAGAGACGAGUGGAGGGCUACAAUGUAUCUGCACUAGUAGAGCA